rnacentral:rRNA from 1 species
GAUGAACGCUGGCGGCGUGCUUAACACAUGCAAGUCGAACGGGAACCUUUGGAUUCGUCUGAGGGUGAGAGUGGCGAACGGGUGAGUAACACGUUGGUGACCUGCCCCAAAGAGGGGGAUAACUACUGGAAACGGUAGCUAAUACCCCAUGUGAUCUUAGAGUUUGGAUACUUGAAGAUGAAAGCUCUGGCGCUUUGGGAGGGGCCUGCGGCCCAUCAGCUAGUUGGUAGGGUAAAAGCCUACCAAGGCAAAGACGGGUAGGGGGCGUGAGAGCGUGACCCCCCACACUGGCACUGACACACGGGCCAGACUCCUACGGGUGGCUG